rnacentral:lncRNA from 1 species
CUGAGUUGUAUUUUUGAUUUCUAUAGGACUGUUUACCGGUAUAGAAAGAUACUUGCCCUGGAUGGUGUGAAACAUAUACCUCUCUUUGUUUCUCAUCUCUAAUAAGCAAAGAGUAGGCAUAGUUUACUGAAGGCAAAGGGGAAAGCAUAAGUAAGUUACUCCUUGGUCCAGCAUAGUUGUCAUUCAGUCGCAUAAGGAACUGAAUGAGUCUCCCAUCUUAUUAAGACUUGACAAAAUUUUCUUUUCC